UACAGAGGGGGCAAGCGUUGUUCGGAAUUACUGGGCGUAAAGGGCGCGUAGGCGGCCCGCUAAGUCGAACGUGAAAUCCCCGGGCUCAACCCGGGAACUGCGUCCGAUACUGGCAGGCUUGAAUUCGGGAGAGGGAUGCGGAAUUCCAGGUGUAGCGGUGAAAUGCGUAGAUAUCUGGAGGAACACCGGUGGCGAAGGCGGCAUCCUGGACCGAGAUUGACGCUGAGGCGCGAAAGCCAGGGGAGCAAACGGG
rnacentral:rRNA from 1 species